rnacentral:lncRNA from 1 species
CUCUUUUUAGGUGAGUUUCUUGUCUUAAAAUAUCUAGACUCUAGCCUCCUGUGCUAAGCCUACUCCCAAUGCACCUCAUAUUUUGUAUGUUACUCAUGUGCUCUCUCUAUGGAAUUUUAAUGCAUUUUUCUUUCCUUCAUGACAUCUGUUACUCAAUAUCCUAGGCAUCUGCUAAGACUCAUCUUAAUUGAUGACUUCUGUGAAGACUUUCAGUCUCUCCAACUAGAUAUGAGCACUCAGGGACAAUACAACACAAAAACAUUUUAAAAGGGAAAUUAUUAACUGACCAUUUCCUGUCAUCAGACAAGACUUCCGGUGGUGGGAAUAAGACACCAACCUGGCCAUAUUACCUUUUAACUACAGCAUGUCCUGCCUAUGGUAUGUGGAAGGAAAGAAAGGGUGAGAGAUUGUGGGAGUGGCCAACCAAUGACUGGUCUAGCCUCAGACCAAUAAUGGAAGAGUGAGCCUACUCUUGAUACUGCCUAGAGCACCAGGAACCAGAGGCUGGAAGUCUAGAGACCUAGAAUGGAACCAAAUACAACUGGAUGAAAAAAAUGUCAUUGUAAUGAUGCCAAACAAUAUUCUCCUAUGCUCAUAGAUUGGUGAGUACCCCAAUUGUCAGCAGAGAGACUUUCUCCAGUAACUGAUGGGAACAGAUGCAGAGACCCACAGCCGAACAUGAGGUUGAGUACAGGGAAUCCUGCUGAGGACAGAAAGAAUUGUAGGAGCCAGAAGGAUCAUGGACAUCAUAAGAAAACCCACAGAAACAACUAAUCUAGGCUCAUAGGAACUCACAGAGGCUGAACUAAUAAGCAAGGAACCUGCGUGGAACCAAGCUAGGCCCUCAACAUAUCUUUGACAGUUGGGUAUCUUGGUCUACUUGUGGGACUCCUAACAAGUGGUUAUGCUUUUGUUCCCACAGGAAACAAAAUGUAGUGAAUUCAUUCAAGGUUGAUAGAGAUCAGACUUGAUUGGGGAAGAUGCCCCAAAAAUCCUGGCUACAGAUAUAAACA